GCGGAGGGGAGGGGGGUUCCCAGAGCCAGCCAGCCCCGCCCCCCCCCCAGGUACGGGGCCGAGGUAGCGGGCACACACGUGCUUGCGCGCGCUCACACGCAUGCACCCCCAUGCACACCCGUACGGACCCUUGCACACUCCCAGCGCAGGGACGAUGUGCGGAACGCCCCCUUCUCCCCAAACCCUCCAGCCCCCCCCCCAACCCCAAACACGGGUCAAGGCAGUCAGAGCAGUGCCGGCAUUUUAUUCUGAAGAGAACAGCAAUAUUUCCCCUCCGGCGUGUGGAAGGAGUAAAAGAAAGAGACUUUACACGCAGCCUGAAUGAUGAUCUGCGGGAGAUAGAGUGGGGGUGGGGAGGGAUGGGCUCAGUGUCCCCUCUCGGCUUUCCAGGUAAAAAAGACAGAAUCAAAGGCAGAGAAGAUGCUCAGAGAGUUAAAGGCUGGUUUUGUCUGCUGCUGCUGCUGCUGCUGCUGCUUGAUUAGUUGCUCUGGAAAGCAUAACCUGACGGCCAUCACUACACCAGCCACCUCACACAAUGAACAUGUUGAGAAUACUGAUGGAACCCAUCAACUUUCUUAUGGCUCCCAUGGAAGAACAUGGCAAAUUCCAGGGGAAAUCUUGCUAGUGCCAAGAAUUCUAUUUGGGAGCAUCUCGGAAGACCUUGUUGACAGGAUGCCACAAGACACAAUUUUGUGAUAGAAAUAGUCUAAAAGAUUAAUAAGCAAUUUUCUUAAUUGCAAAGCAUUCAUUAAAUCUUACCAUGGGUCUGGCACUGUUCUAGGAGCUCAGGGUACAAAUACCCUGGAAAAGGAAGAUUGUACCUGCCCUUGUCUUCAUUAGGCAAGAAACAGGAGGGAACAACGCUGGGAGAACCAAGAAGCUGAAGGAAUUCUGUCUUGCCACUAAAGAUAUCACCAUGUCCUUUUCCUCCUCCCAAAUCUUCCCUUUAAGGAGGGUGUCCAGAGAAUCUGUGUACAUUUCUCUAAACUUCAUUAUGCCCUUAGUCCAGGUUUUUUAUGUUAUCUUUCCCUAUUUGUUUGUAACCAUUUCUUGUAUCCCCUCAUGCUUAGCACAGUGCCUGGCACAUAGUAGCCACCUAAUAAUAGUUUAUUAAUUGAUAUCAAUUAUUGAUUGAUUAGGUUAUUGAUCAACCUAAAUAUUAGUACUAAUGCUGCUGCUGCUACUACUACAUUACUACUGCCCCUCUCACUAUUACUACC